UACGACCACAUCACAUUAAAACACCGGUUUCCGUAAGAAAACUGAAGUUAAGCAACGUAGAACCUUAUUAGUACCUAGAUGGGUGACCGCUUGCAAAUACCAGGUGCUGUAAU